rnacentral:rRNA from 1 species
AUAUURUUAAGUGGAGGAAAAGAAACCAAAAGGGAUUCCCCCAGUAGCGGCGAGCGAAAAGGGAUCAGCCCAAAGCCGAAUCCCGCGUUCUUUGGACGCCGGGAAAUGUGGCGUAUGGGAGGGCCCAAGUGCAGCGGGUCGAGGGCGACUCAAGUCUCCAUGAGCGGAGCCUUUGACCAAAGCGGGUGUUAGUCCCGUACAGUCGCCUCUCGCACGUUGCAUUUAGUCUUCCCGGGAGUCGGGUUGCUUGAAAGUGCAGCCCAAAGUGGGUGGUAUACUCCACCUAAGGCUAAAUAUUCCCGAGAGACCGAUAGCAAAAAAGUACCGUGAGGGAAAGUUGAAAAGAACUUUGAAGAGAGAGUUCAAUAGUACGUGAAACCKCUUARAGAUAAACGGGKGGGCCUUCRAAACCUGAAGACMGACUCWGCUUUAAAUUACUUUGAUUCUCGGUGACGCCCGGAGGCUUGCCACGGGUAACCUUGGAUCAGGGUGUUUUUUAGUGCACUUCUGUUUGUAAGAGACCGCGACUGGUUGGUCGACCGUCGGAAGGACGGCCCGGGAUCAAGGUASCCCACCGUCUAGGCGGUGGGUGUGAAAGCCCGGGCAGUAUGGCUGACGGUCGUGCCGACUCAGGACGAGAGAAACCUCGCACGGCGUUCCCUUCGAAAGAGCGUAACCAGCACUGGUUGCACUGGGAUGCCAGGGGUCAGCGGUUAGUAGAUCGGGUCCCACCCGACCCGUCUUG